UGGAAACUNUCUGACUUGAGUGCAGAAGGGGAGAGUGGAAUUCCAUGUGUAGCGGUGAAAUGCGUAGAUAUAUGGAGGAACACCAGUGGCGAAAGCGGCUCUCUGGUCUGUCACUGACGCUGAGGCUCGAAAGCGUGGGUAGCGAACAGGAUUAGAUACCCUGGUAGUCCACGCCGUAAACGAUGAGUGCUAGGUGUUAGGCCCUUUCCGGGGCUUAGUGCCGGAGCUAACGCAAUAAGCACUCCGCCUGGGGAGUACGACCGCAAGGUUGAAACUCAAAGGAAUUGACGGGGGCCCGCACAAGCGGUGGAGCAUGUGGUUUAAUUCGAAGCAACGCGAAGAACCUUACCAGGUCUUGACAUCCCGAUGCUAUUCUUAGAGAUAGGAAGUUACUUCGGUACAUCGGAGACAGGUGGUGCAUGGUUGUCGUCAGCUCGUGUCGUGAGAUGUUGGGUUAAGUCCCGCAACGAGCGCAACCCUUAUUGUUAGUUGCCAUCAUUAAGUUGGGCACUCUAGCGAGACUGCCGGUAAUAAACCGGAGGAAGGUGGGGAUGACGUCAAAUCAUCAUGCCCCUUAUGACCUGGGCUACACACGUGCUACAAUGGUCGGUACAACGAGUUGCGAGCCGGUGACGGCAAGCUAAUCUCUGAAAGCCGAUCUCAGUUCGGAUUGGAGGCUGCAACUCGCCUCCAUGAAGUCGGAAUCGCUAGUAAUCGCGGAUCAGCACGCCGCGGUGAAUACGUUCCCGGGCCUUGUACACACCGCCCGUCACACCACGAGAGUUUGUAACACCCGAAGUCGGUGAGGUAACCUUUUAGGGGCCAG
rnacentral:rRNA from 1 species